UUAAAAUGUUGUUGUUUUCGUUUAUAAGUGCUUAUGUUUGUGCAAAAAAAAAAAAGAUUAAUGAUGUUUAUGUAAUGCUUAUUGAAUUUUAUAGUUUUGUUUCCCCCUCCCCUCUUUAUCCAUUAAUGUUACCUAAUCAUGUUCAGCUAAAAUCUUUAUCAUGUUUCAGUUUGUUUUUCCAAAAAAUUAGGUUUACAGAAGUUAUAUACCACAUUAAAAUCAUAUAUAAUUUUUACUUGCUUGGUUUGGACAACUAGAAUUUUCAGGUUAUUAGGUUUUUAACCAUAAACAAUGGUUGUAUUUUUUAAAAUAAAAUUGCCUAUU
rnacentral:lncRNA from 1 species